UCCUACGGGAGGCAGCAGUGAGGAAUAUUGGUCAAUGGAGGCAACUCUGAACCAGCCAUGCCGCGUGAAGGAUGACGGCCCUAUGUGUUGUAAACUUCUUUUGAAUAGGAAGAAACUUAUCUACGUGUAGAUAACUGACGGUACUAUUAGAAUAAGGAUCGGCUAACUCCGUGCCAGCAGCCGCGGUAAUACGGAGGAUCCAAGCGUUAUCCGGAUUCAUUGGGUUUAAAGGGUCCGUAGGCGGGUCUUUAAGUCAGUGGUGAAAGCCGACAGCUCAACUGUCGAACUGCCAUUGAUACUGGAGACCUUGAGUACAAAUGAAGUAGGCGGAAUGAGUCAUGUAGCGGUGAAAUGCAUAGAUAUGACUCAGAACACCGAUUGCGAAGGCAGCUUACUAACAUGUAACUGACGCUGAGGGACGAAAGCGUGGGGAGCGAACAGGAUUAGAUACCCUGGUAGUCCACGCCGUAAACGAUCAUCACUCGCUGUUGGCGAUAUACUGUCAGCGGCCAAGCGAAAGUAUUAAGUGAUGCACCUGGGGAGUACGCCGGCAACGGUGAAACUCAAAGGAAUUGACGGA
rnacentral:rRNA from 1 species